UGUUCGUUUUCCUCUUUGUUAUUCUUUGUUCUAGUGUUCUGGUUUUAAUAAAAUAUCAUGAACACGUCUCAUGCUGCGCUUUGGUCCAGUCAUUCACAGGAAGAGGAUCGUUGCAGCGUGGCCAGGAGAGGCAGCCCCUCUACAUUUUGGGGGGGGGAACAUGGGACGUUCGGCAGAGCCACGGAUGCUUUUCUAGCUUUGACUGUAAAGCAUAUUUUGAAAAUCUGAGAUGACAGGGUGAUUAACAAAAGGCUAAGCUGUGUCUCAAUAUAUUUCACUUGUGAUUUUCAUUAAUGGGAAUAUUUAUGUCUGUUGCGUUAUGCUAAUUAGUGUCAGUCGAAGAUUACGCUUCCUCACGCGGGAUGGGGAGUCACUAGAGGUUAACUAAACCUGUAUGUCCAAGAUUUUAUGCUCUACAGGUGAAUUACAGGAGAAGGUGAUUCACUCAAUCCAGUCCCUGAGGAGAAUAGACGGGAAGCAGCCCCGUUGGGAGGGGCCAUACCAAGUACUCCUGGUGACAGCCGUCACGAUGAGAAUAGCUGAAAGAGCUACCGGGGUUCAUAUCACACAUUGCAAGAGGAAGUGAAAGUGUGGGCUGGCCUCUGGCUGAGGAUAUGUUCUCCAGGAAAGGGUGGGGCCUUACAGGAGUGCUGAUUGGUGUGGGAGCCAUCGUCCUAAUACAUCAUGACCCAUCCGAGAUGGAAGAAGGUGAAGUACAGUGAAGUAUCCACGUACGGAAUUACCUGCUCUCUGCGCUUGACUCCUCCACUCACCAUUCAUAGAAGUCAUAACAGGUGCGUGAUAUUUGGAACAAUGUGCUGUACCUUCAUCCCAAAUAACACAGCUCCGGAUGGAUUAGUGACUAAGGCCCUGGCUGGUUUAUCCACCUUAGCUCACGAAUUAGCAGAAAACUCUGGGGUGGAUACUUCUCUGACGACUUGGUUUGGAAAAAUGUCAUGAUCACUGUGUUGUGAGCAACCUUCACCUGUGUGACUGUGUUAGUUUUGUGCGGAUGUUGUUUGAUUCCGUGCGUGAGAGGUCUCAUUUCCAGGACUCUGGAGAAAUCGAUGACACAUCAGAUGGUGAGAUACGGGCCGAUGCCGAGCUCUGACCAGUGGAAUGAUGAAUGCAUACCCCCAGACCUAGUAGAUGGACCUGGCUCCUUCACUUACGAGGAGCCUAUGUUAGAUGAGACCAUUUUUAAUGUUUAGGUUCCUUCUUGUUUUGAUGUUUAGACUGUUUUUUUAUGAAGAUUAUAACGAAAAUCCUGACAAGAAGAGUUAUGAUUCUGAUGUAGGCCUAGAACAGUCAUUGUAAAUACAUAUAUUGUUUUUCUGUGUGGUUGAUUUUGAGUAUAAUGGAUAAUUCUAAUAAAAAUUAUGUGUGAUUAAAUGUUUAAUAUUUAGUCAAAGGGUGGAUUGUUAUUAAUUAGAUGUAUAAUGUCUAAAUUAUGUAUACAUUUAAAGUAAUGAUAGAUAUAUUCCUAACAGAAUUCUACCCUGUCAAUGUAUAACGAUGAAGAAUGUUUGUCCAUGAGAAAGAGGGACUGUUAGCAGGUAAGGAACUGUGGCAGACAACUUGCGACCACUGUGAAACUGAUAACAGGGAAGGAAGUCUCCCCAUCCAGGGAGAGGAGAAACCUUGGGAUGCAGUAUAUUGUGUAACAUGUUGCAGGAUGUGAUAAGCAAUGUAAGUGUAGGCGAAGACUCGUAAACUAUAUUGUCAUUGUCCGAGAGGAGGAGGGACAUUUAUGAUGAAAUGAGAGGUAUAUAAACCAAUGUACAUGAAAUGAUAAGCAGAGCUCUCGUAAAUAAACAU